UCAGUCAGAGAAGUAAGGCCACCAGCCGGCUCACAAGAAAAACGUCCACUCCUGAAAAAUGAAAGCAUUUUUAUUCAUUGCUGUAUUAAUGGAGAUUUGAGGCUUUAUGCUACACUGUACAAACAGAGGUGUGAACUCAAAUGGAGUAUCUGGAUUAUUUUCAGGACUAUCUCUGUGCUUCAGGAGAAGAAAAAGAAAACAUGUAAAAAUAGGGCUGUCAGGAAAUUAUUCAGGACAGAUUUACUGUUAUAAAACAUCUUCUCUACAUUAGACAGUAACAGUUGAGUUGCUUGAAUAAAACUGAUAUAUUCCAGAUAAAAAUUUCAUAGUAGUCAAAUGAUUAAAUGUCUGGGAAAGUUAUAAAAAAUAUUGAUAAUUAUUUCAUCACUCUUAAAAAUAAUGACUUAUUCCUGUUAUUGCCUAUUAAAAACAUUUCUUGAGGAAUAUGGUGUUACCAAAAUAUACUUUUUUUUAACACUGUUAAUACAGUUUAGCAAUUAUGUUCAAACUCAUCACAGUCCUCUGGUUAAUACCUUAAUAAACAACAAGGGACUUAAAUAGCAGACCAUUUUUUAAUUUCACCAUUAGGCAUUAACUGUAAAAACUUAAAAAUUCAUCAAGAAGCUUGCUAUACAACUAAAACAUUUGCACAUUCAAACACAUUAAUCCAUUUUAACAUAUUCUUUUGAUUUGUAAUGGAUUUCAACAUUUUAAUUUUAGAUACAACUCUGAAUCAGAAUGGAAGAAGCAGAAUUUUGAGUUAAUAUUUCCAAAAUAAGUAUUCAGCCUAACCUACUUAAAGCGUGAACAACUGCACUGUGAAGGCCUACCAGAGCCACACUGCCCCCACAGAUGAUGGUACUCUCUCAUGGAAGGUACUAAGGCUGCUGAAUGUUCAUCUCAUUCUUUUUGCUACACCAACCUGGGCCAUUUUAUUAUUCUUUUUCAGUGAUUUAAUCAUCUGUCUUUCUUGACAGAAUUAUUAAAGAGCACUGAAGAAUUA